UUUUAUAAAUUUAAUUUACAUUUAUACAAAUUAGUAAGAUUGAUUUCAAUUCCUACACUUUUAAUAGUGUAAACAUUAUGAUACGCUCACUGAUGAUUAAGUAUGAACGAAUGUUUCGGUGACUUAUUAGUUCAGGCGUUCCGUAUAGGCAAGCUAACUUUCAAAUCCUCGGCAAGUGACGUAGACGCGCACUGUAUUUACCAAUCGAGAAAAAUUGUGAAACUGUACUAGGAACUCAGGAGGAAAGCAAUGAAGGUGGGCAAUUUGAUUUCCGAGACUCGGUAAUUUACAAAAAAAAAAAAAAGUUGAAAAAAUAGUACCAGGAAUUUAAUUGUGUUGAACUUUUAACUUUUGCGAGUUUGUUGUAUCCUGAGGAAUGUUUCAAUAAUGGCUCAGCCUGUUGCCCAAGAGUGCUGGUUCUAAUGAACAACGGAUGUAUUACACGGAUGGUAUCUGUUGUGCCCGAAUGAAUACACUGAAGAUUUCUGGCUGUUAUCACUAUUGGAUUUAUAGCAAUGUCUGUGCAUCUGUUUUGCCCGGUUGACGUGUAUAUUUAUUUAUAUUCAGUUAUGCGAUUAUUUAUCGAAUUGUGUUUAAUGGAGUUCAUCUUAUUGCAUAAGCAGCAAUUGUUGUUUAUAUGAAUAUCUUUACUGAUGAAAGUAUAACGACAACGACGUGAUUAUUUAUUAAAAUGUGUAAUUUAUAAUCGUAUGACAAAUGAAAUAUUUAAUUCUUCUUAUUUUCUCCUCUAGUAUAAUAGUGACUGUAUUCAUUAAUAUGAUUUGUAAAUUUUAGAUAAUGCACGGCCUUUGGUAAAUCUACAAUAUUUUCACGUCUGUUGUACUCACGAUGUGUUGAUAGUUCUGUGCUGCUGGUUUUUUUUUAGCCUAUGCUUGCCCUCCCUUACUGUUCGUCGAUCCUCCAAAAUGAUCGCGUGUCAAACCUCGAUUCCAUAAGAUAUUGCCAUUCGACAACGGAGGAUCAUCACGAUUACAACGUGCAGUCCGCUCUUGGAGUUCAUCGAAAACGUUUAUUUCUUAUUUAAUUUACAACGUAAUUCCUUUACCAAUAUUAUUGUUUACGUUCGAGUCUCUCAUUAAACCGUAUUUUUCUAAUGAUAAUUAUAUCAAUUUGUAUUCCAAGUACUACAUUACUUCAAUAUGAACGAAAUUUUUUUAUGUGUGUGAUCGAGACAAUAAAGAAACAUUAAUUAAUAAAGGAACGUUAAUUUUUUUA